UCACUCCCCGCACUGACACGUAACAGCCGCUUCCGUAAACACAGGAGGCGAGGUGGCGUGCGCAUGCGCCAAGUUACAGUGACCGCGAGCAGCCGGUCUAAUAAUAAUUGGAAUCUAUUGAUUAGUUUCACUCAUAAUGUACAAUGUGCCACGAGUUUAAAAAGGUUGAAAAUCACUGCUCUACGGACUACGAGAAAAAGAUUUACCGAAGUUGAUACCUGUAGGAAUCCAUCACAGAACAGGAUAAAGAGCACUUUGUUCAGAAAAACCAAACAAAGCAAAGCACACUAGCAAUGUGGAACGCU